GAUUAACGCUGGCGGCAUGCCUAAUACAUGCAAAUCGAACGAAGCACUUGUGCUUAGUGGUGAACGGGUGAGUAACACGUAUCCAAUCUACCCUUAGGUUGGGGAUAACUGGUCGAAAGACUAGCUAAUACCGAAUAUCAAUACUCCUAUCGCAUGAGAAAGUAUUGAAAGAUCCUUUUGGAUCGCCUUUGGAUGAGGGUGCGGCAUAUCAGAUAGUUGGUGAGGUAACGGCUCACCAAGUCAAUGACGUGUAGCUGUACUGAGAGGUAAAACAGCCACAAUGGGACUGAGACACGGCCCAUACUCCUACGGGAGGCAGCAGUAGGGAAUUUUUCACAAUGGGCGAAAGCCUGAUGGAGCAAUGCCGCGUGAAUGAUGAAGGUCUUACAGAUUGUAAAAUUCUUUUAGCAGGGAAGAAGCGAGAGUGACGGUACCUGCAGAAAAAGCACCGGCUAACUACGUGCCAGCAGCCGCGGUAACAC
rnacentral:rRNA from 1 species